rnacentral:rRNA from 1 species
AGUCGACGGAUCCUACUGAACCUAGUGAUGUAUGGAUUAGUGGCGGACGGGUGAGUAACGCGUGGAUAACCUGCCGUAUACAGGGGGAUAACACUUAGAAAUAGGUGCUAAUACCGCAUAAGCGCACGGUUCCGCAUGGAACAGUGUGAAAAACUCCGGUGGUAUACGAUGGAUCCGCGUCUGAUUAGCCAGUUGGUGGGGUAACGGCCCACCAAAGCGACGAUCAGUAGCCGGCCUGAGAGGGUGAACGGCCACAUUGGGACUGAGACACGGCCCAAACUCCUACGGGAGGCAGCAGUGGGGAAUAUUGCACAAUGGGGGAAACCCUGAUGCAGCGACGCCGCGUGAGUGAAGAAGUAUUUCGGUACGUAAAGCUCUAUCAGCAGGGAAGAAAAAAAGUCCUUUGGACUUUGGACGGUACCUGACCAAGAAGCCCCGGCUAACUACGUGCCAGCAGCCGCGGUAAUACGUAGGGGGCAAGCGUUAUCCGGAUUUACUGGGUGUAAAGGGAGCGUAGACGGCAGCGCAAGUCUGGAGUGAAAUGCCGGGGCCCAACCCCGGAACUGCUUUGGAAACUGUGCAGCUCGAGUGCAGGAGAGGUAAGCGGAAUUCCUAGUGUAGCGGUGAAAUGCGUAGAUAUUAGGAGGAACACCAGUGGCGAAGGCGGCUUACUGGACUGUAACUGACGUUGAGGCUCGAAAGCGUGGGGAGCAAACAGGAUUAGAUACCCUGGUAGUCCACGCCGUAAACGAUGAUUACUAGGUGUCGGGGGGCC